CCUACGGGUGGCAGCAGUGAGGAAUAUUGGUCAAUGGCCGGAAGGCUGAACCAGCCAUGCCGCGUGAAGGUCAGUGCCCUAUGGGCGUUAAACUUCUUUUGUGCGGGAGCAAUAAUGGUCACGUGUGGCCAGACGAGAGUACCGUACGAAUAAGCCCCGGCUAACUACGUGCCAGCAGCCGCGGUAAUACGUAGGGGGCAAGCGUUAUCCGGCUUUACUGGGUGUAAAGGGGGCGCAGACGGCAAUGCAAGCCAGGAGUGAAAGCCCGGGGCCCACCCCCGGGACUGCUCUUGGAACUGCAUGGAUGGAGUACAGGAGGGGCAGGCGGAAGUCCUAGUGUAGCGGUGAAAUGCGUAGAUAUUAGGAGGAACACCGGUGGCGAAGGCGGCCUGCUGGACUGUGACUGACGUUGAGGCCCGAAGGCGUGGGGAGCAAACAGGAUUAGAUACCCGAGUAGUC
rnacentral:rRNA from 1 species